rnacentral:lncRNA from 1 species
AUUACAUUCUUUUAGUUUGGCAAGUCCAUACAAACACUGAUAUUAUACGAACGGAAACACUACUAUGAUAACCUUCAAGAGAGUCUCAACAUAGAUGACUCACUGUCAACAGACACAUCACUUAUCAUUGAAUGCUUAGCAUCCUUAAUUCUUGAAAUAAAUAAAGAAAAAUGCAAGCACCUGAUACAUCAGUUAGAUUCAAAUCCGAGGUGUUACGUUGUAAAAGAAAUCUAAUCAGCUAGAUCAAAAAUUAACUUAUCAUAUAAAACAACAUCACUUGUCCCAUACUCCCAUCGCUCCUCCUAUAUGGUUC